rnacentral:rRNA from 1 species
AACGAACGCUGGCGGCGUGCCUAACACAUGCAAGUCGAGCGCGAAAGCAGCAAUGCAAGUAGAGCGGCGCACGGGUGCGUAACACGUGGGUAAUCUGCCUCGAAGCCUGGGAUAACCUGAUGAAAGUUAGGCUAAUACCGGAUAAGCUUCCGGGGUCUUCGGACUCUGGGGGAAAAGUAGGCCACUGUUUACAUGCUUACACUUUGAGAUGAGCCCGCGGCCCAUCAGCUAGUUGGCGGGGUAAUGGCCCACCAAGGCUACGACGGGUAGCUGGUCUGAGAGGACGAUCAGCCACACUGGAACUGAGACACGGUCCAGACUCCUACGGGAGGCAGCAGUGGGGAAUUUUGCACAAUGGGCGAAAGCCUGAUGCAGCAACGCCGCGUGUGUGAUGAAGGUUUUCGGAUCGUAAAGCACUUUCGACCGGGAAGAAAAACCUCUGGCUAACAUCCAGGGGCCUGACGGUACCGGGAGAAGAAGCACCGGCUAACUCUGUG